GGCCACCGCUAUUGGAAUACGAUUAAGACAUGCGAGUCGAGAGACGUAAGGUCUCGGCGGACCGCUCAGUAACACGUGGAUAACAUGCCCUUAAGGUGGGGGGAUAAUCUCGGGAAACUGAGGGUAAUACCCCAUAGGUCUAUUGUGCUGGAAUGCUAAUAGGCCGAAAACUCCGGUGCCUUAGGAUUGGUCUGCGGUCUAUCAGGCUGUAGUGGGUGUAACGGACCCACUAGCCCGUGACGGAUAUGGGCCUUGAGAGAGGGAGCCCAGAGAUGGACUCUGAGACAUGAGUCCAGGCCCUACGGGGCGCAGCAGUCGCGAAAACUUCGCAAUGGGGGCAACCCCGACGAGGGAAUUCCAAGUGCUAGCACUUUGUGUUAGCUGUUCUUCUGUCUAAAAAACAGGAGGAGUAAGGGGCGGGUAAGACGGGUGCCAGCCGCCGCGGUAAUACCCGCGCCCCAAGUGGUGGUCGAUAUUAUUGAGCCUAAAACGUCCGUAGCCGGUCUUCUAAAUCCUUGGGUAAAUCGGGCAGCUCAACUGUCCGAAGUCCGGGGAGACUGGGAGACUUGGGACCGGGAGAGGUCAGAGGUACUUCUGGGGUAGGGGUAAAAUCCUGUAAUCCUGGAAGGACCACCGGUGGCGAAGGCGUCUGACUAGAACGGAUCCGACGGUGAGGGACGAAGCCCUGGGGCGCAAACGGGAUUAGAUACCCCGGUAGUCCAGGGUGUAAACGCUGCGGGCUUGGUGUUGGGGGCCCUUAGUGGGCGCCCAGUGCCGGAGAGAAGUUGUUAAGCCUGCUGCUUGGGGAGUAUGUCCGCAAGGAUGAAACUUAAAGGAAUUGGCGGGGGAGCAC
rnacentral:rRNA from 1 species